UCGGGAAUUUUGGGCAAUGGGCGAAAGCCUGACCCAGCAACGCCGCGUGAAGGAUGAAGUAUUUCGGUAUGUAAACUUCGUAAGAAUAGGAAGAAUAAAUGACGGUACUAUUUGUAAGGUCUGGCUAACUACGUGCCAGCAGCCGCGGUAAUACGUAGGGACCAAGCGUUGUUCGGAUUUACUGGGCGUAAAGGGCGCGUAGGCGGCAUGACAAGUCACUUGUGAAAUCUCUGGGCUUAACCCAGAACGGCCAAGUGAUACUGUCGCGCUAGAGUGCAGAAGGGGCAAUCGGAAUUCUUGGUGUAGCGGUGAAAUGCGUAGAUAUCAAGAGGAACACCUGAGGUGAAGACGGGUUGCUGGGCUGACACUGACGCUGAGGCGCGAAAGCCAGGGGAGCAAACGGGAUUAGAUACCCUAGUAGUCCCUGAGCGGGCUGGCAAGGCGCAU
rnacentral:rRNA from 1 species